AUCAUCUUCUACAAAAUGUCAGGAAUACACCGUGUUCAUUGCAAAACAGUAGUUUGCAAUACUAAAAAUACUGCAUCCUCACAAAAGAGCAGUAUUAUUUGAUAGUAGCUUUCACAUAGUGUGUCUGUUUUUAUGUUGGUAUGAUGUAUAGUGGAAGAUCAGAAAACGUGGGCAGAAGUUGGGAGAGAAGGCAAUGCAAAGAUGAUGGACAUCAUACCACAAUAAUAGUUGUGUGUAUAAGCCUGAUCAACAAGUGAAAAGAGUCAGAUAAGAGGAAAGAGUUUGAAAACUGAUUUGACGACCACUGCUGAAUUGGCCUGCUCAGAGGAAGAGGCACUAAUGAUUCCAGAAAACAGGAAGCCAAAGAAGAAGACCUACACAGACUUUGAAAUGGAUCUCUCAAUUGCCAUGAUGACCAAGAUAUUCAAUGGGGAAAUGUGGAAAGCUGCCAUAUUCCCAGUCAUUACUUUGCCAAAUCAUCUGUGCAGCAGCAGCACCGAGGAAUCCUACUUUCCUGAGUACGAAGCCGGGCAUCAAGGACUUCGCAGAGUGGCAACAGACUGGAGCAGAGGCUGUAGCAGGGACAGCCUUUUUUUUCUUUUUUUUUUUUUGCUACUGAAAUAAUUGACAUUAUGAUAGACAGUGGACAAUAUGGUGUGACAAUUAGUUUUUGUUCUCCAACAUGUACACACUGCUGUUGUGAAGCAGGGAUAUACAGCUCAUGA